CGGCCCCUGCUAUUUGUACCGGGUGGAGGGCGCCUGAUUAGCCUAUAAUGGCAAAGCCCCUUUGAGCUCGGGCGGUGCCAAUUAACCCCCAUCACCCCCAUUUGCUCCCGAGCAGGAGCGAGGCCCCGGGUCGGAUCCUGCGUCCUGGUGGAGGUCCCCAGGCGGAGGGCGCUACCUGCGCGGUGCGGGGCCGCCCGGCCGCCGCCGGGCCCCCUUUGUAACCUGCUAUAGAAAAGGGAGGUCUUCUGCAUGACAAAGCACAAUUAAGCUUGCUAUUCAGGGGCCCUGCAGCUGGUGUCACAGCCCCAGCCCUGCCAGCCUGUAGGUAACCGACAGAAACUCUGGCUUAAGACACCAGCAAAGCAACCGUGGCCACAGACCCAAGAGCUUUCCCCCUUUUCUGUAGAAGGCUGCAAUGGUGGAGAAAACUCAAGAUGUCUUCGUGCUGCAAGUGCUACCGCUCCUCUUAAAACAGCAAGAAGUUUAGGCCAGAACAUGGUCAGCCAGGGAUGUGGAAGAUGCAAAUUGCAUAGAGCUAAGAAGCACGCUUAGCAUAAGACAUGUGUGGGGCAUUUGAAAGAAAAUUUGGUAUUCUAAUUUUUCACUAUUAACCUUGGAUUUUAACUAAUCUACCACCAUUAUUCCAUUCUCCUAAAGCAGUGGUCAGAUCAGGUGUGGCUUAAGAUUCUCAGAGUGGCUGCAGAAAAGCAAGUAGGUACCUCCAGUGGGUACUGUAAACAAGAUGCUCUGUAAUUCAGUUCCCCUAAAAGACCAGGCCUACCUUUUGAGGCAUACUCCUGAAUGUAUGGACAGGGUUACUAUGCUGCCUUUAGUUAAACUAGUAAUGGUGAAGCCCUUAGACAUAUGGGUGACUCCAGCAAGUUCAGGUGAACUGUGACUGUAAGUCAGUCGUUUCUCUGUAAAAAUUGCAAAACCUUCAAGGGGCAGCUGGGACAGUAGCAGGGAAAAGGAAUCAUCAUUGAUACAAACAGCAUUGAUUUUCAUUUUGCUGUCAUCUUUUUCCUCUUUUCCUACUUUUUUUUUUAUUGCAAUGUUUUAUUUGGUCAACUGAAAGUCAAGUUUUAAUGAGGGAAUGGACAGCAAUCAGGAAUUCCUAAUUUAUUUAUUUAUUAUUUUUUUUGACAGCUCCUGCUACCUGGAAGUUUUUCACAGGCAAAAGGCACCAUCUCUAAACUCAUUGUAUUAAAAUGCCUUUUAGGAAAGAUCACAAGACAUAAGUGUUUUUUGUUGUUGUUUUCUUUUGUUCUGUUUGUUGCCAUGUUUUUUCUUGUCAGAAAAUGUUUUUCAAAGUCAGAUUUGUCUUUUGUAAUUAAUGCAAGACCGAGUGGUUUUAGGCAAGGUACAGUUUAAUAGAUUGUGGCAGUUCAGUCCAUUGGGUUUUCAGUAAAAGCUGUCAAAUUACAGUAAAGUUGUCAAGGUGGGAUUUUGCCCCCCUCUUUCACAACUACUAUUAAAUGUAACAAGUGCUUGCCUGGACAGGAGGUAGCUCUCAAGUUUUGAUUUUUCAAAAUUGGGACCGGAGUCCUUUGAACAGCUCGAUUCCUGACUUCGUGCUCUUAGAAACACGUGGGAACAAGACUGAGAAAGUCACCUUACUACUCGGAGUGCAUCUGUAUGCCAUAUGCUGUUGGUAUAUACAGGGAUAAGGGAUGUUUGUCUCCACGUGGAUCCUACCUGGGGCUGACUUCAAUGGCCACAUGGAUGCUGCUGAGAUGGGACCAGCAGUGCUGGGGCUCCCCAUCCUGAGGGCACUGGCCAGAAAAGCAAAGUGGAAAAUGCUACUUCUUGUUUUGAGGGCAAACCUGUGAAAGUAAAUCAUGAGCAGCAUAGGUUGUUUAUGUUGGAGGCUUGUGAAGGAAGGCAGUGUAGUUGCUGGCAAAGAUGGCUCUUGACUCCCAUCAUUUCCCAUCUCUUACUCUCUGGACUGUCCAAUCCUUUAUUCCUGUUUCUUUUCUAUGGAAACUGGUGCCCUUGUCCUCAUUUGUUUUCCUGAGAAGCACAUGAAAACAGAGGCUGCAGCCGAGUCAUCCUCUUUCCAGCUCUGCACCCACAGGGGAGGACAGAACAUCAGCAUCUCCUUAAGACUUCUGCUCCUUUCCUGAUAUUGGCUAACAGAUCCAGAACUCACUGAGGAGCUGAGUGGGUGGGACAAGCCUGCGAGACAGAUAGACGGAGGGAGGGACGGGCAGACUGCUCUCAUAAAUUUAACCUCCCUAGAAAAUGAGGUUUACAGUAUCAGCUGCUGGCAGAAGCUGCACUCCCAGAAUUGCUAGGUCAAAGUUGAAAUCACUUAAAAAAUCUUCAUGGUUAAUGCAGCUUUUGUAAGAGGCUUUAC